rnacentral:rRNA from 1 species
UACGUAGGGGGCCAGCGUUGUCCGGAAUCAUUGGGCGUAAAGCGCGCGUAGGCGGCCAGAUAAGUCCGGUGUGAAAGUCACAGGCUCAACCUGUGAAUGCCGCUGGAAACUGUCUGGCUAGAGUCCGGAAGGGGCGAGUGGAAUUCCUGGUGUAGCGGUGAAAUGCGCAGAUAUCAGGAGGAACACCGGUGGCGAAGGCGGCAUCCUGGACCGACACUGACACUGAGGAGCGAAAGCCAGGGGAGCAAACGGG